rnacentral:tmRNA from 1 species
GGGGGUGAACGGUUUCGACUCUGGACGUUGAGUCAGUGGGAAGCGUGCCGGUGCAGGCGAGAGACCACCGUAAGCGUCAUCGCAACCAAUAAGUGCCGACUCUAGUCAGCACCAGUUCGCCCUCGCCGCCUGAGCGAGUAGCGACUGUGUCGGACCGGGGGCGUCCCCGCCCCGGACCCCGGCAUCAGUUAGGGGACUCACCGCCAGGCCCGGUCGCGGGGCCUGGAUGGGACACCUACAGCGACUGGGAUCGUCACACCGGCUUGUCCGCGUGACCGGUGGAUCCGAGUAGAGGCUUAGCGGACUGCGCACGGAGAAGCCCUGACGAGGCGACGGAGGACCCGGGUUCGAUUCCCGGCACCUCCACAU